rnacentral:rRNA from 1 species
GUCUACUUGGAGGUUGUGGCCUUGAGCCGUGGCUUUCGGAGCUAACGCGUUAAGUAGACCGCCUGGGGAGUACGGUCGCAAGAUUAAAACUCAAAUGAAUUGACGGGGGCCCGCACAAGCGGUGGAGCAUGUGGUUUAAUUCGAUGCAACGCGAAGAACCUUACCUACUCUUGACAUCCAGAGAAGCCAGCGGAGACGCAGGUGUGCCUUCGGGAACUCUGAGACAGGUGCUGCAUGGCUGUCGUCAGCUCGUGUUGUGAAAUGUUGGGUUAAGUCCCGCAACGAGCGCAACCCUUAUCCUUGUUUGCCAGCGAGUAAUGUCGGGAACUCCAGGGAGACUGCCGGUGAUAAACCGGAGGAAGGUGGGGACGACGUCAAGUCAUCAUGGCCCUUACGAGUAGGGCUACACACGUGCUACAAUGGCGCAUACAGAGGGCGGCAAACUUGCGAGAGUGAGCGAAUCCCAAAAAGUGCGUCGUAGUCCGGAUUGGAGUCUGCAACUCGACUCCAUGAAGUCGGAAUCGCUAGUAAUCGUAGAUCAGAAUGCUACGGUGAAUACGUUCCCGGGCCUUGUACACACCGCCCGUCACACCAUGGGAGUGGGCUGCAAAAGAAGUGGGUAGUUUAACCUUCGGGAGGACGCUCACCACUUUGUGGUUCAUGACUGGGGUGAAGUCGUAACAAGGUAGCCCUAGGGGAACCUGGGGCUGGAUCACCUCCUUAUACGAAGAUA